rnacentral:rRNA from 1 species
AACGAACGCUGGCGGCAGGCCUAACACAUGCAAGUCGAGCGGACCCUUCGGGGUUAGCGGCGGACGGGUGAGUAACGCGUGGGAAUAUGCCCUUCUCUACGGAAUAGUCCUGGGAAACUGGGGGUAAUACCGUAUACGCCCUUUGGGGGAAAGAUUUAUCGGGGAAGGAUUAGCCCGCGUUGGAUUAGGUAGUUGGUGGGGUAAUGGCCUACCAAGCCGACGAUCCAUAGCUGGUUUGAGAGGAUGAUCAGCCACACUGGGACUGAGACACGGCCCAGACUCCUACGGGAGGCAGCAGUGGGGAGUCUUAGACAAUGGGGGCAACCCUGAUCUAGCCAUGCCGCGUGAGUGAUGAAGGCCUUAGGGUUGUAAAGCUCUUUCAGCUGGGAAGAUAAUGACGGUACCAGCAGAAGAAGCCCCGGCUAACUCCGUG